GAAGGUAUAGUUCAGUGGUAGAGUGUGUGCUUAGCAUGCACAAGGUCCUGGGUUCAUUUGAUCCCCAGUACCUCUG
rnacentral:tRNA from 1 species